GCCACGGCCACGGCGAGCCCCUACGUGGGGCUGCGGCGGCCCCUGGGCCACCAGCUGGGCCCCGCCACCAAGGAGCGCAUCUGGCGGGGGGAGUUCAUCGACCUGUUCUCGCUGCUGCACACCGAGCUGGCCCCCGAUCGGGGCCGGGGCCAGGGCCAGGGGCGGGGGGACACGCUGGACCAGUGGGUGUCUGCUUUCCUGGUGUACGCCAGCGUGCUGUGCGAGCGCCACCCCCACAAGUGCGGGGCCAUGUUCAAGUACCUGGACAUGAUCCGCAAGUUCCACGCCACGUAUGGCGGUACCUCCUGGUUGCGCUACGAUGAGGACUUCCGGCGCCGGGCCGCCCAGGACCCUGGUCUGGCCUGGGGCGACGUAGACCUGCAGCUCUGGAUGAAGUGGAUGUCCCCGCUGAAGCCGCCCAGAAGUCGGCAGCCACCCGCUGAAGCCGACGAGCAGGUGCCGCCCCCAUCACCGCCACUGCCACCACCACCGCUGCCGUUGCUGCCCCCCAGGCCAGAUGAGAAGAGUCAGGUGUGCGGCGGGGCUUUGACCGGGGGCACGGGCUCCCGUGCCGCCUGCGGCUCCGAGCAGGAGGGCACCAAGUGCCAGGGGUGUCCCAGCGCGCUCGGAGAGGACAGGGAAGGGCUCGGCGACAGGACACGGGAAGGAGGCGAGCAGCGGGGCUCGGAGAGCCACUCGAGUUGAGACAGGGCCUCACUUAGAGUAGAGGCGUGGAGCCAUCACCAAUAGCUGAACUGGUGCAACCGUGAACACGCACAGAUUUGUUAAAAACAGAAUUUCUUAUUGGUGCCAACAGCCUGACUCCAUUGGUGUUUAAGAGGAGCUCUGGUAUUCUAGUGCAUUCUUUUACCUCUGCUUCUGUUGCAUUGCAAGCUGUGCUAGAGAAGACAUAGGAAAUUCGUUUUACCCAAUCAGCAAUUUAACAAUGGACUACAAACCUACAGAGCAAGCCAGUUUGUUGGAAAACAGGAGUUCCUGCAGCGCAGCACUUGACACAGACUAUCCAGAGGGCAGAGAUUCAAGAGGGUGAAUAAAUCUGAAACAGUCUCCAGAAGGGGAAUCCUAACCUAAAAUUCUAAUUUGAAAAUAUUAGCCAAUUUAAAAAGCAUAUUGCCCUUUCUCAUUUGAGCAGUUUAUCACAACUGGACACUUCAAAACGUGUGUACUGUACUACUAAAAAAUCUAAUACUUGUCUUUGUUAAGAGUUGUUAAUUUUUACCAUUUCUGAAAACUAUCUGCAGCAAAUGUGUAUGAACUUGAAAUUAUCUUACAUUCAGUAUAUCUCAGGUGGUUGAAAUAAUUGCUUUAUAAGGCUCACCUAAUACUGCCUCUUUUUUUUUCUCUGAACUUCCCUCCCCAUCUUUAAUUUACACUGGCACCAUUGAAAACAGGCAUAACAGUCAUACGUAUCUAGGUCCUUACCCAUACUAAGAGUUGAUCUAAAUUAUUUUUCCACUUACAUCCCAGUAGCAUACUAGCAUCCAGUACACACAUCUGAGUGGUGUAUCUAGCAUCCUAAGUCUCAGGUAUGAUUGUUUAUAGUCUGGUGCCAAUGAGAAUCAGAUUAGAUGGUCUAUGGUGUAAUGAUACUCCAUUUUCUUCAGUGGCUUAUUUUCCAUUUCUCUCCCCACACAUCCUAGAGAGUAUGAUUGAAGUAAUACUAUGCUACAAUAACACACUAUGGUAAGGUCAUUGUAUCAGGAAAAUCUGCCACUAUCUGUUCUAUUUUCCCCCUUCUUAAUAGUCUCAGUUACAUGAAUUAACAUGAAACGUUUGUAAAUUCAUGUUAAAGUGUUUGAGAUCUCAUCUAAAUAAAUUUUUUAUAUAUAAAAAUUGCUCUAA